UACGAGUGCCCCGAGCGUUAUCCGGAAUCAUUGGGCGUAAAGGAUGUGUAGGUGGUCUUAUUAGUCUUUUGUUAAAUUCUUCGGCUUAACCGGGGUUCUGCAAGGGAAACGGUAAGACUUGAGGAUGCGAGGGGUGUGCGGAACUCAUGGUGUAGGGGUGAAAUCUGUUGAUAUCAUGGGGAACACCAAAAGCGAAGGCAGCACACUGGAGCACUCCUGACACUGAAACAUGAAAGCGUGGGUAGCGAAUGGG
rnacentral:rRNA from 1 species